AUUGAACGCUGGCGGCAGGCCUAACACAUGCAAGUCGAAUGGUAACAGGAAACAGCUUGCUGUUUCUCUGACGAGUGGCGGACGGGUGAGUAAUGUCUGGGAAACUGCCUGAUGGAGGGGGAUAACUACUGGAAACGGUAGCUAAUACCGCAUAACGUCGCAAGACCAAAGAGGGGGACCUUCGGGCCUCUUGCCAUCAGAUGUGCCCAGAUGGGAUUAGCUAGUAGGUGGGGUAACGGCUCACCUAGGCGACGAUCCCUAGCUGGUCUGAGAGGAGGACCAGCCACACUGGAACUGAGACACGGUCCAGACUCCUACGGGAGGCAGCAGUGGGGAAUAUUGCACAAUGGGCGCAAGCCUGAUGCAGCCAUGCCGCGUGUAUGAAGAAGGCCUUCGGGUUGUAAAGUACUUUCAGCGGGGAGGAAGGGAGUAAAGUUAAUACCUUUGCUCAUUGACAUUACCCGCAGAAGAAGCACCGGCUAACUCCGUG
rnacentral:rRNA from 1 species